rnacentral:rRNA from 1 species
UACGGGAGGCAGCAGUGAGGAAUAUUGGACAAUGGGUGGAAGCCUGAUCCAGCCAUCCCGCGUGUAGGACGACUGCCUUAUGGGUUGUAAACUACUUUUAUCUGGGGAUAAACCUACUCACGUGUGAGUAGCUGAACGUACCAGAAGAAUAAGCACCGGCUAACUCCGUGCCAGCAGCCGCGGUAAUACGGAGGGUGCAAGCGUUAUCCGGAUUUA